rnacentral:rRNA from 1 species
UUUCCGAAUGGGGAAACCCAGUGUGUUUCGACACACUAUCAUUAACUGAAUCCAUAGGUUAAUGAGGCGAACCGGGGGAACUGAAACAUCUAAGUACCCCGAGGAAAAGAAAUCAACCGAGAUUCCCCCAGUAGCGGCGAGCGAACGGGGAGGAGCCCAGAGCCUGAAUCAGUGUGUGUGUUAGUGGAAGCGUCUGGAAAGGCGUGCGAUACAGGGUGACAGCCCCGUACACAAAAAUGCACAUACUGUGAGCUCGAUGAGUAGGGCGGGACACGUGGUAUCCUGUCUGAAUAUGGGGGGACCAUCCUCCAAGGCUAAAUACUCCUGACUGACCGAUAGUGAACCAGUACCGUGAGGGAAAGGCGAAAAGAACCCCGGCGAGGGGAGUGAAAAAGAACCUGAAACCGUGUACGUACAAGCAGUGGGAGCCUCUUUAUGGGGUGACUGCGUACCUUUUGUAUAAUGGGUCAGCGACUUAUAUUCUGUAGCAAGGUUAACCGAAUAGGGGAGCCGAAGGGAAACCGAGUCUUAACUGGGCGUUAAGUUGCAGGGUAUAGACCCGAAACCCGGUGAUCUAGCCAUGGGCAGGUUGAAGGUUGGGUAACACUAACUGGAGGACCGAACCGACUAAUGUUGAAAAAUUAGCGGAUGACUUGUGGCUGGGGGUGAAAGGCCAAUCAAACCGGGAGAUAGCUGGUUCUCCCCGAAAGCUAUUUAGGUAGCGCCUCGUGAAUUCAUCUCCGGGGGUAGAGCACUGUUUCGGCAAGGGGGUCAUCCCGACUUACCAACCCGAUGCAAACUGCGAAUACCGGAGAAUGUUAUCACGGGAGACACACGGCGGGUGCUAACGUCCGUCGUGAAGAGGGAAACAACCCAGACCGCCAGCUAAGGUCCCAAAGUCAUGGUUAAGUGGGAAACGAUGUGGGAAGGCCCAGACAGCCAGGAUGUUGGCUUAGAAGCAGCCAUCAUUUAAAGAAAGCGUAAUAGCUCACUGGUCGAGUCGGCCUGCGCGGAAGAUGUAACGGGGCUAAACCAUG